UACAGAGGGGGCAAGCGUUGUUCGGAAUUACUGGGCGUAAAGGGCGCGUAGGCGGCCUGCUAAGUCGAACGUGAAAUCCCCGGGCUUAACCCGGGAACUGCGUCCGAUACUGGUGGGCUUGAAUCCGGGAGAGGGAUGUGGAAUUCCAGGUGUAGCGGUGAAAUGCGCAGAUAUCAGGAGGAACACCGGUGGCGAAGGCGGGUCUCUGGGCCGAUACUGACGCUGAGGAGCGAAAGCGUGGGUAGCAAACAGG
rnacentral:rRNA from 1 species